rnacentral:rRNA from 1 species
GACGAACGCUGGCGGCGUGCUUAACACAUGCAAGUCGAACGGAAAGGCCCUGCUUGCAGGGUACUCGAGUGGCGAACGGGUGAGUAACACGUGGGUGAUCUGCCCUGCACUUCGGGAUAAGCCUGGGAAACUGGGUCUAAUACCGGAUAGGAGCCAUUUUUAGUGUGAUGGUUGGAAAGUUUUUUCGGUGUAGGAUGGGCUCGCGGCCUAUCAGCUUGUUGGUGGGGUAAUGGCCUACCAAGGCGGCGACGGGUAGCCGGCCUGGGAGGGUGGACGGCCACAUUGGGACUGAGAGACGGCCCCGACUCCUACGGGAGGCAGCAGUGGGGAAUAUUGCACAAUGGGCGCCAGCCUGAUGCAGCGACGCCGCGUGGGGGAUGACGGCCUUCGGGUUGGAAACUCCUUUCGCUAGGGACGAAGCUUUUUGUGACGGUACCUAGAUAAGAAGCACCGGCUAACUACGUG